rnacentral:ncRNA from 1 species
UUGCGAGGACGACCUCCCCCAACUCUGGGUUGCAUGUCCGGGACGGCCCGG